GUUUUAUAAGGAUUGUUUCCUUCUUUGAUUUUCACAAAUAGGAUCAUUGCAUACAACCAUCUCUCCAUCUUGCUUUAUUAUUCAACAAUAUCUGUUUGGAAUGGUGGCAUAUGUGCAGCAAUUUUUCAGUCAUUUACAUAUUAAAAUUUAUUCAUCCCCAUUUUCACCUGUUUUGGUUACUAGGAGCAAUGCAGUUAAAAAUACGUUAGGAGGUAAGCUGUGCAUGAGGAUGCAUAGUUACAGUCCUAGCUACUUGAGAGGCUGGGGCAGAAGGAACACUUGACCCCAUGAAUACAAGGCAGUAUAGCAAGACCUUAUCUCAAAAAUGUUGAGGUAGUGUGCAUACUGGUUAAGCAGAUAGACCCAUGAACCAGCCUACUAGAGUUCCAAUCCUGGCUCUACUAGUUACUACUGGCACAACAUUGAGCAGGUCAGUUACUUCUCUGUCCUGAUUUUUUUGCAGCUAUAAAAGAUAUUCACACCUAGUACCUAUCUCAUAGAUUUGACUGAGAAGUAUAUUUCUUUCCUAGGACUGUUUUAUAAAGUACCACACAUUAGAUGACUUACAGCUAUAGACAUUUAUUUUCUCGCAGUUCUGGAGGCUCAAAAUCAAGGUGUCAUCAGGACUCUCUUGCAAGAUGCUGGGGGAGGAACUAUUUCAUGCCCCUCUUCUGGGCUCUGGUAGACUCAGGUGUUACUUAGCUUGAAGAUGCAUCACUCCAGUGACGUGGCCAUUUUCUCUGUGUCUUCACAUUGCAUUCCUCUAUGUGUGUGUCUUGUGUCUAAAUUUCCCCUUUUAUAAGGUUAUAGCACAUUCAUGGCCACUCUAAUGACUUCAUUUUAACUUGGUGACUUCUGUAAAGAUUCUGAGUAAGGUCACAUUCUGAGGUCUUGGGGUUAGAAUUUCCACAUAUCUCUUUAGGAGGAUACAGUUCAACCCAUAACAAACAGUUAAUGCAUUUAUCUGUGUAAAGCACUUAGGACUAUGUGUGGAGAUAAGUUCUUAGUGAAAAUUAGAUAACAUCCCACUCUGUGUUUGAGAUGAGCUGAGAAUUGAGAGCUUGUCUGUGGCAUGUAAGUCUCAUUUAACAGAAAAAGCAACCGCAGGACUGAGACUUGUGCUACCAGUGUUUGAAGACUGUAUCAAGAAGGAUUCGUCUACAGAGGAUAAUGAAAAGGAGCAGCCAGAAAGGUAAAAACAUAACAUGAGAAGAGGGCUCACUGAAGUGUGUUUCCAAAGAGCAUUUCAAUGUAAAACUUGUUCAAGCUGAAGUUCCAUUCGUAUGCAAAUGAAACUGAUUCUUGAGUUUGUGACAGGAAGGCUAUUGUUGACUUUGAUGAGUGUUAUUUUGGAGAUGGAUUUGAAGAAAGCAAUUGAGCAAAUCUAAAGGAAUUUCUGAAAAUUCAGAUAAUUUUACUUAGCCAUAAAGUAAAUCCUCUGUUAGAAAAAUACUAUGUCGUGAGGCUGGAUUGCUCUGUUGUUAUCUGGAUUAAACUGAAAAAUGAGAAUUGGUGAAGAGUAGAAAUUAUAUGUGAUUUGGGAGGUCAAAGGGAAGAACCAACCUUCCCUCUAAAGUUAUUUGAGAUUAGAUACAGUGAGGGACAGAGGCAGAGAGCCACCAAACGGGUUCCAAUUUUUUCUCACUCUAUUCUCUAUAUCCAGCCUGUCUUUCCAUCUCCCAGCCCUGCUGAUAGACAUUGGCCCCAGGCUAACAGCCCCCCUUCACAGUUCUAUUUUAGCAGCUGGAUAUGCCUAGCUUCUCAGAUUUUCUUGACAGUUCUGAUUUAUCUACCAAUGCCAGUGACUUCUCUAAUCUUUCAGCUCUUCCUUUUAUAUCCUUACUUCCCCA
ensembl:lncRNA